UACGUAGGGGGCAAGCGUUGUCCGGAUUUAUUGGGCGUAAAGAGCGUGUAGGCGGCUGGGUAGGUCCGUUGUGAAAACUCGAGGCUCAACCUCGAGACGCCGAUGGAAACCCUCCAGCUAGAGUCCGGAAGAGGAGAGUGGAAUUCCUGGUGUAGCGGUGAAAUGCGCAGAUAUCAGGAAGAACACCAAAGGCGAAGGCAGUGUCCUGGCUGGUUCCUGACGCUAAGGUGCGAAAGCUAGGGGAGCGAACGGG
rnacentral:rRNA from 1 species